CCUACGGGAGGCAGCAGUGGGGAAUUUUGGACAAUGGGCGAAAGCCUGAUCCAGCAAUGCCGCGUGAGUGAAGAAGGCCUUCGGGUUGUAAAGCUCUUUUGUCAGGGAAGAAACGGUGAGGGCUAAUAUCCCUUGCUAAUGACGGUACCUGAAGAAUAAGCACCGGCUAACUACGUGCCAGCAGCCGCGGUAAUACGUAGGGUGCAAGCGUUAAUCGGAAUUACUGGGCGUAAAGCGUGCGCAGGCGGUUUUGUAAGUCUGUCGUGAAAUCCCCGGGCUCAACCUGGGAAUUGCGAUGGAGACUGCAAGGCUAGAAUCUGGCAGAGGGGGGUAGAAUUCCACGUGUAGCAGUGAAAUGCGUAGAGAUGUGGAGGAACACCGAUGGCGAAGGCAGCCCCCUGGGUCAAGAUUGACGCUCAUGCACGAAAGCGUGGGGAGCAAACAGGAUUAGAUACCCUGGUAGUCCACGCCCUAAACGAUGUCUACUAGUUGUCGGGUUUUAAUUAACUUGGUAACGCAGCUAACGCGUGAAGUAGACCGCCUGGGGAGUACGGUCGCAAGNUUAAAACGUAGAAAGAUGACGUUGUGNGNGNGCGAGCACGAGAGGAG
rnacentral:rRNA from 1 species